rnacentral:rRNA from 1 species
GAGUUUGAUCUUGGCUCAGAAUGAACGCUGGCGGCGUGCUUUACACAUGCAAGUCGAGCGAGGCGUCCCGCAAGGGAUAGUCGAGCGGCGAACGGGGUGAGUAACGCGUGGAUAACCUGCCCUGAGGUGGGGGAUAACCAAGGGAAACUUUGGCUAAUACCGCAUGAUACCGAGAGGUCAAAGGGGGCUCGCAAGGGCUCUCGCCAUAGGAGGGGUCCGCGUACGAUUAGCUAGUUGGUAGGGUAAUGGCCUACCAAGGCGACGAUCGUUAGCCGGCCUGAGAGGGUGAUCGGCCACACUGGAACUGAGACACGGUCCAGACUCCUACGGGAGGCAGCAGUGGGGAAUUUUGCGCAAUGGGGGGAAACCCUGACGCAGCAACGCCGCGUGGAGGAUGAAGGUCCUUGGAUUGUAAACUCCUGUCAGCAGGGAAAAAGCGACUUGACCUCAUACGUCAGGGAGUUGAUUGUACCUGCAGAGGAAGCCCGGCUAACUCUGUGCCAGCCGCCGCAGUAAC